rnacentral:tRNA from 1 species
AGAGAAGACGACCUAAAAGUUACUGCUAAUUGCCUUACCUAUGGUUAAAUUCCAUAGUCUCUU